rnacentral:rRNA from 1 species
UACGGAGGGGGUUAGCGUUGUUCGGAAUUACUGGGCGUAAAGCGCGCGUAGGCGGAUAAUUAAGUGAGAGGUGAAAUCCCAUGGCUCAACCAUGGAACUGCCUUUCAUACUGGUUAUCUUGAGUUCGAGAGAGGUGAGUGGAAUUCCGAGUGUAGAGGUGAAAUUCGUAGAUAUUCGGAGGAACACCAGUGGCGAAGGCGGCUCACUGGCUCGAUACUGACGCUGAGGUGCGAAAGUGUGGGGAGCAAACAGG